AUAUUUGCGCUGGUUAUCUCAAAAGUAUUUAAAGCAAGACUAAGUCCAUUGAAUCAAAACAAAUUUGUUAUUAAAUUCGUAAUAUAUUUAAUGUUAGCCGUUGAUGUUUCAAUUGUUUUUCAACGUAUUUAACGAUAAAAUCCGUCAGUUAUCAUCCUCGUUAUGAUGUCACCGUAUUUUUUAUUUGAGUAGCUAUCGCAAUCAACAACACUAUGGGUGUGGUCAUUAUUUGAUGUUAUUUUAAUAGAUAAAUAUGUUAUUUUUGUUCUUAGUGGAUUGAAAGCCAACGGAAUAGCGAUUUUUAUUAUAUAUCGGAUGCAUUUAUUCAAAGUUUGUUAUUAGCGGUUGAGUUCUCGAACGAUUUCGACUAUGAAUAAAUUAGAAAAUGGGGAGUGAUAAAACGAAACCAGUAGAUAGACUGGUUCUGGUUCUGCUGAUUUCUUCUGUCGUUGGACGUCUCAAUUCAUUAGUGUGAUGGUUUUAUUAACAUUUUUUUAUCCUUAAUGUUUGAGCCACGAAACACAUGUCGAACUAGGCGGACAUGGCGGGGUUCAAAUCCCGCAGACAGUUACCAAAUUUUUAUAAGGACAUCAUCUGGUCAGAUCGACUUUCAAGAUGAAGAAUAAAAAAUUGCGUUCAAUAAAUCAAAA